ensembl:lncRNA
CGUCCCCCCAACCUCUGGAAAGAAAAGGUUGCAGCGAGUGGUGUGUGUACAUUUCACAUUGCCAAUAACACACACACACACAUACACACGCUCUCGUGUGCGCGCGCGCGCGCAUACACACACAUACACUCCGCACACAUACACACAGACACGGCUUGGGGAGAGAGGAGAGACAGCGCGAGACAGCGCGAGCCUCCGAGAAAGCGCGAGACAAGCCGGCGCGUGUAGCCGCCGCCGCCGCCGCCGCCGCCGCCGCGCCGCCGCCGCCGCCUUAGAGCUCCCAGCGCUGCCCAGCGCCGCCAGCGGAGGAACAGUCCCAGUUAUUUAUGCUGCUGCUACGUCCGCCGCUUGUAGUUCAGUCCGACCCCCCCCCCCGUAACUCCCGCGGCCGUCCCCUCUCCUCCGCGCGCGCGCGCACGCACACACACAUACAACAUACACAACACACACACACAACACACGCGCAUGCACGCACAGAUACACUCUCCCCCCUAACCCCCCAUUCCAGGCGGCAGCUGCAAAAGACUUUGUGCACGGCUGCGUGGGCUGGGGCUUUCGGCAGCUCCUCUCCUCUUCGGGGGUCACCUCCUCUGGACGCCCCGCUCCGCGUCUCGCUUUUCUUGGUUACAUUAAGGUCACUAAAUCUUAAACAGGAGACAGAAACCUGAUCACACAGCCUUCUGGAAGGUAAGUGGAAAAGGGGACACCAUUCAGUAAUUUUUAAAGAGCUUAUUUCAAA